UGAGAGGCGCAUCACAUCAACAGAAUUU
rnacentral:piRNA from 1 species